GGCAUGCCGAUCCAUUCCCUGCCACGGAGAUGCUACACCUUAGACAUAUAUACAUAUGACACAAGAGUUACAGGUCAAAACCACGAGCACAGCCCCACCAGUAAUAUCAGACAGAGUUCAAUGCCUGGAGGGCUUCUCGAGGUACACCAUCUACCCAAACGUGAGGUGAAUGCAUGAUGGCCUAUGUUUGUAGUAAAGUUUGGUUCUCUUAGGUGAUGCUUGAGGAGAAAAACUUACACUACUACAAUAUCAGGUUUUGGGCACCAAUAUUAUUUGUGCUCUUUAGUGUAAAAGGCACAAUUAUUCGUGCUCUUCGUUAACAGCCACGGUGCAACCACAAUAAAUUGAUCGGUUUCCUA